GAGCUGAGGUUAGAUUGAGCAUUAUUAUUAUAACGCCUACUGCCCUCCUGUCGUUCCAAUGUUUAUUUGCAGGACAGGUGCGUCUGUUUCGGAGAACGCGGUGCUUUCUGGAAGAAGAAGAGGAGCUUCCGUUUAGACCUUCCCAGAAUGCCGCUGUCCUGCUGCGGCUCUUUCUCCAGAACCGUCUGAAUUCGCAGAGGUGGAGGCUGGAGCGUGCUGAACGCUGCUGUCAGUGUUACGCUCAGUGAUGGACUCUAACUUAGCUGUCCGUUGGGAACAUGAUCAGCUUGCACGGCUGGUAUGUCGGUGUUAGUUUUGACACGCCUAGUGAAGGAUGAGGCCUCCUGGUCCACCCUGUCUGGCCACGCUGCAUUUUCCCCUGCUCUGUCUCCAGUCUUUUAACAUCUCGCCAGCAGCCUGAGCUUCUCUGAGCACAAGCUUGCUGCUUGUCUGCCUGGUUGAGCUCUUGGGAGAGGCGAUGCGGCGCUUUGUCUACUGUAAGGUGGUGUUGACCACCUCCUUGGUGUGGGUGCUGGUGGAUGCUUUCCUGCUGCUCUACUUCAGCGAGUGCAACAAAUGUGAUGACAGAAAGGACCGCUCUCUGCUCCCAGCCCUCAGAGCAGUGAUAUCCCGGAGUCAUGAGGGUCCAGGAGAAAUGGGCAAAGCAGUAAACAUCGCCAAGGACGACCAGGAGAAGAUGAAGGAACUUUUUAAGAUAAACCAGUUUAACCUAAUGGCCAGUGACAUGAUUGCACUCAACAGGAGUCUACCGGACGUGAGGUUGGAUGGCUGUAAAACCAAAGUUUACGCAGAUGAUUUACCGACCACCAGCAUAGUCAUAGUUUUCCACAACGAGGCAUGGAGCACCCUGCUGCGGACCGUCCACAGUGUGAUCAGCCGCUCGCCCAGACACUUGCUAGUUGAGAUUGUGCUGGUUGACGACGCCAGUGAGAGAGACUUUUUGAAAAAGAAGCUGGAAGGUUAUGUCCGGACAUUGGAGGUUCCUGUAAAGAUCCUGAGAAUGGAGCAGCGUUCCGGGCUGAUCCGAGCCAGGUUGAGGGGAGCGGCUGCCACCACAGGCCAAGUCAUCACCUUCCUGGAUGCUCACUGCGAGUGCACUGAGGGUUGGCUGGAGCCUCUGCUGGCACGCAUCAAAGAGGAUAGGACUGCAGUGGUGUGCCCCAUCAUAGAUGUCAUCAGUGAUGAGACAUUUGAAUACAUGGCAGGCUCUGAUAUGACCUAUGGAGGAUUUAACUGGAAACUGAAUUUCCGUUGGUACCCUGUUCCCCAGCGGGAAAUGGAUCGACGCAAAGGGGAUCGAACGCUUCCUGUCAGGACUCCCACCAUGGCAGGAGGAUUGUUCUCCAUAGACAAGAUGUAUUUUGAGGAAAUUGGAAGCUACGACCCCGGAAUGGACAUAUGGGGUGGCGAGAACUUAGAAAUGUCUUUUCGAAUCUGGCAGUGUGGUGGCUCCUUGGAAAUCGUAACAUGCUCACAUGUGGGGCAUGUUUUCCGCAAGGCCACCCCGUACAGCUUCCCUGGAGGAACGGGUCAGGUCAUCAACAAGAACAACAGACGUCUAGCUGAAGUUUGGAUGGACGAGUUCAAAGAUUUCUUCUACAUCAUAUCUCCAGGCGUGAUGCGGGUGGACUACGGAGACGUCUCCUCCCGUAAAGCCCUCCGCGAGGCCUUGAAGUGCAAACCCUUUGCUUGGUACUUGGAGAACAUCUACCCCGACUCCCAGAUCCCCAGAAGAUAUUACUCUCUUGAUCAGAAACGUGGAGACCAAUCAGUGUGUGGACAACAUGGGAAGGAAGGAGAACGAGAAAGUGGGCUUCUUCAACUGCCACGGCAUGGGUGGGAACCAGGUGUUCUCGUACACAGCGGACAAAGAAAUCCGGACAGAUGACCUCUGUCUGGAUGUUUCCCGCCUUAAUGGACCUGUAGUGAUGCUCAAGUGUCACCACAUGAAGGGCAACCAGAUGUUUGAGUAUGAUGCUGAGCGACUCACCCUGUUGCACGUGAACAGCAACCAAUGUCUGGACAUGCCGUCUGAGGAGGACAAGAUGGUCCCCACCCUGAGAGACUGCAACGGCAGCCGCUCCCAGCAGUGGCUACUCAGAAACAUGACCCUUAGCGUCUGAUCUCUCGACUCGUCGGCUCCCUCUAUGGUUCUGACCUCCUUCUAACCUUGCCGUCAUCUCCCUCCCCAGGUGGCUCCGACUAGACACAACAUGCACCUCUUCUUGUUACAGCCUGGACAACAGAGAUCCAGAAUGCAGCGGCUUAUGUUUCACUUCAGAGGUGGAUCCUCUUACUGCUAUAGCCCAUGGUCUGGGGAGAACCGCAUGUGCAUUGAGACCACUCGCCUAACCUCGGCAUCCCUGUAUUGUCUAAAGUGGGAGAACAAUGCUUAGGGGUCAGUGAAUCAGUUCAUUGUAUUGGUGUUUUUACUGAUGCUUCGGUCCGACUGAAUCAGCACUGCGGAUUUGUCGAUCAUCCUUUUCCACAUCAGUUGCUAGUCAACUAAUUUGUUGGUGGAUUUGUGAAGAUAAUGGUUUUUUUUAAUAAAAAAAAAGGCAUUUUAAUAAAAGCACAUCACUUCUGUUGCUCUAACCUUCAAAUUUUAUUGAUGCUGUUAUUAUUUAUUUACAAUUUCAAGAGGGGCCGGAUGGAUUUCUGGGAACUGGCUAUGCUUUAAGCUGCAUGGUGUCAUCGCCCAUGACAACAGCUGCUGGCUUGUCACCCGUAAGAAGGUCACAUUUUAUGGUACCUAAACUGGGAGAGGAAGGUCAUAGAUGGUGUGAAGCUACUUAAUUGUAUAGGAAAAGGUUGUAGCAUCAAAAGUUACUUUUUAAUUUUUUUAUUUUAACAGGUUUACAGUUCAGUUUGGAGAGUGUAGCAAACCACGGCUAUCAAGGUCUCUUUGCAAGGACUGAAGCUGGUCCUUGCAGAUCUCAUUUUGAUUCCAAAGUCUUGUCAGAAAAGAGAGAAUACAAAAUAUAUUUUUUUCUAAUGACUUUUUGCAAAUUCAAGAGAGAUUGUGAAUUUUUGUCAUGAUGUGUUGCAUGUUGGGAGAGGAGCACCAUAUUUUAAAUAUCACUUCCAUUAUGUGAAACUGCUGCUGACAUAUUUAAACAGGAUCUGUGCCAAGAUGUGAUCAACUGCAAAAAUAAGGUUGGGGUGAUUCUUUUUGGAUCAUCUAUUUAAUUAAAUAAAUUGAUUUAAUUUUACAUACUUGUCGAGUAACUUCAAAUUCCUCUAUAAUCCAAAUAAAAAGCACAGUGAAGUAAGUAUUUGUUUUAAAACAGAUUGAGCUAUUAAGAGUUAUGGACCCUACAUACAAGACAGUCGGCUACAAAUUUCUCAUAAAAUAGUUUUCAUAAAAUAUAAAGUCCUAAAUAUAAGGCUGGUUUUCUGAAAAAAUGUUACAAUUUGCCUGUUAAAGUUAGCUGCAGCCAUUAGGUUUCCAAUUUAACUGAACUGAAAAGUCUGCAUCUCACAGAAAUAACUCAAUGAUUAACAUUAUUUCUUAUAUAAAUUUAUCUUCUAUUUUUAACCCAUCUUUUUCACUUUUCUCCAAAUGUUUUAUUUUAAAAUAUAUUUCUGCGCAGAGCUUCCGUAUGUAAAUGAACAUAACUGUUGUUCUUUUUUAAACUUUUAAAGGAACUUUUUGAUCCUCGUCAACUGAGAUUGGAAAGAAAUGUGAACACUUUUCUAGUUGCUUUAGCUCACAAAGGCCACAUUUUUUUUGAGUCAUUUUUCAGUUAAAAGACACGCUCUAAUGAAAACAGUGUUUUUGUCUGAAAAUCAUCCGAGCUGGUUUUUGGCAUAAAACUUUACGGUUGGAUAUCUCCAAGAUUGCUCGCCACUUUGUGCACAGGUAUUGUUAGGUUGGGGGUGUGAGAGGCUGCAAGUUAGUGACAGAGAACGUAAACAGAUCUCUCAACUAUGAGGAGGGGUGAAUUUCUGAUGAACUACUGCCGCUCUGCAGGAACCAUGUCCUAGAAAAUGACACAGGUGUUGAUUUUAAUAACAGACACUAAUCAUAAUUUAAAACCACUGGGAAUAUAUUGUGUUUUUUUUCUGAGCUUAAAAUACUGUGUUUUCCACUAAACCAGUUAGUAAGGCCUGAUGAAUAUUAACUGAGCAUUUUUGAAGUUUCAUUUCAGUUUGCUUCAGUGACAUGGAAGCUGAAUUUCAAAGAAUAUGAAUGAGAAGCAUAUAAAGGACUGCUCAAAAUAUAAACCAAAUCUUACAGGAGAAUAUGAUCGUAAACUAUAAGAAACUUCAUGGAUCCUCAUAAGUAUGUUGCUAUUUAGCGUGAGCUGGAAGAUGGUCUCCACCUGUAAUGAAAUUUGUUUCCAAAAAAAGUAAUUAACCUGUAACAUUGUUUUGGUUAGAAAGACAAAUAUUUGUGCAGCUGCAAAUACAUAUCUACAUUCUAUAUAGAGUGUAGCUUCCAGACAAUGGAUUCACUUUGGAUUCUGGUUUGGGUGUAAACGUAGUCAUUGCUCACACCUCAGACAAAAAGUCCGCUUCUGCUACUACAAGCCCUUAUAAUUGACCUAAUGGAAAUGUGUGGAACAUCAAAAAACACAACGGUGCAAUUUAAAACAUUCAGCUUGAGGAAAUGAUUGAAAGGCCCUGAUAAGUCCAGGUAACAAAAAUAAUAAAGUUAGCACUGCAAUGAUUGCAGCUCAAAGGGGAAAUGGUAAGCAGUGAGAACAUGUAUUUCCUUUUUUUCCCCCCACACACUCACGACAUAAAUCAAAUUUAGCAUAUCACAUACAGUUUCAAAAAAAGGAAGCAUUCUUGAUUUCUUUCACUAAAUUAUUUCAAAGGCAGUUGGUUUUCAAACAUAAUGCUGUAGUUUGAAGUCUGGUAAGAUAUUUAACUUUUUCUUUCUUUCUUUGAAGUAAAGGAUUUGUUUUUAUCUCAGACUUGACAUGACUUAGCAUGUAAACAUUUUUAUCUUUUUUAUCUGUUAUCCUUUGAUAAAUGUCACUCACAGGAUGGUUCUGAUGAUUGCACAAUUCUUAAGGGAUAAAACUCAUUUUUGCUGACCUGUCGACUGGCAAACCGCCUAAAUGUAAUUUGAUGUUUACUGUUUAGAAAUUAAAAAAUCCUUAAACUAUAAAAACUAAAAUUUGUACCAUUAUUUAAGUGUUGUCUUCAUUUUGGCUAUUUUAGGUGAUUAGUUUUAAAAAUGGUUUACACAAGAUAAGUUGCAUUUUUUUAUAAGAAGUGAUGUGGAUAGUUUAAGAUGACGAAGGAAAAUGGUUAUAUAAAUGUAUUUUUCUAAUUUAUAAUUAUGUGGAAAAAGUCCAUCAAAUAGUUAUAAAUUUGAGAACCUCCCUGUAAAAUCUGGACAAACCACAUUUUGGACAAUCUCGAUAAUAGUAGAGGGGUCACUUUGUGCCUUCAGAGUGCUUUAUUUGUUUUUGAUCACUGAUUCAUGGAAUUUAUGGUAAAUGUGAGUUUUUGUUUACAUUUCUGGCUAAAUUCUCCAUCCCAGUUAAAUCUCAUUAAAGUUGCAUAAGUCACAUGAUACAUUUUUGAUUCAGCAGGCGCUCAUGACAUACUUUUUUGACUGGAACGUUCGUUGGGCCAGACGGUUGUUCAGAACACCACAGAGGACUUUGUAGUGCCGCUGCUGUUGCACUAAAUGAUACAGAUGCAGACACUGUAAAACAAAUAAUACUGUUCUUUUUGAAUGAAAAUGUAAAAAAAAAGACUGUUUAUUAAUAAUGAACAUCACUCUGAGCAAUUAUCUGACCUCAGAUAUGGAAACACGACGCAGUGAAAAAACAAAAUAACGCAAAUGCUACUAGAAUACUGAAUCCUUGCCAAGUGCCUGCUUGGCAUUCAAAUUAAAAUUUGAUUACCUGUUUGAUAUUAUGCAUAUUCAUUGAUUGUUUUUGCUCUAUUUUAAAGUGCAUGUUAUUGAAGUGGGAAUGUAAUGUUUGUGCUGGUUGAUAUUUGUAUAUUUGCCUUUUUGUAGGAAAAAAAGAAAAUAAAACGUCAAAACAUGAAA